UAUUACAAGUGAUAGAAAAAGCCAAAGCUUGCCAAAGAAAGGAGUACAAUGUAAGAAAUAUAAAAAUGAUGUGAAAGUACAAGUAGUUAUUAAUGACAUAAGACGAUAUUAUUAAGUGGAAUGUCGAGAGUAUGUAGAAAAAUGGCUCAAAAUGCCUGAUUAACAUAAAUUUGCAAAUCCGCCCUAGAAGACUUAACCUACAAUCGUAGAUGUUAAUUGUAUUUAAACUACUUGCGUCGUAGUUUAGAAUAGUAAAAUAGCCUAAUUCCGGCUACCUUCACAAGUCACUAUCUCUGUACUCUUGUACGAAUAAAACGAUUAAACGUGUAUGAAAUCCGUACAGUACUUCAACGCAAACAUAACUUAUAUGUCAAACUCGACAAAACUCUCUAACUUAAACAAUGUUAUCAUCCAUCUCGGGCAUUAAAUUCAACGGUACUAAUUACAAGCGAUAAUAUCAACUAUUAACAUCGUGCGUAUUUCUAAACGCGAACGAUCCGGCGCGCCAUCGAUCUUCAUCGAUAACCUCUAAUCGAGCAUUGAUGUUCCUGUUUGCUGGCAAUGCGGAAGAACACGCACGGAAAGAAGUCGUAAAAGGAAACCGAGCAAAACGAUGGCCAAGUUUCCUGCUCUCGAGUCGUCGUCGUCGUUCCCGUUCGAUAGAUCACUCUUCCUGAUCCAAAUGACAAACCAUCCAAAGCCGGUGCAGCGAGAAAAUCAUGAUUUUCUCUACAUUAAAAUCGCGAUCCGUAGGAUCGUACGAAACGUGACUGAAUCGAGAGGAUUCGAAAGAUAAAUUAUCGUUCCGUUUACCAGAGACAACACGUUGGAAGCACGAGGAAACAAACCGCCAGGAAUAAUUCUACGAAUAUUGCUGUUGGACGAAAAUAAGUAUCGCGAUAUUUCACGGCGUUGUGCAAGACACUGGCGAGAUUAAAAACAUACAUAGAAUCGGAUUUGUGAAUACAAGUUUUAACCGUUUUAAUUUUCUUUCAACUUUAAUCGAUCGUGUGUAAAGCACUCGAAUGAAAAGAUAUGUAAAAAGUGUGGAAAAUGUUCGAAUGUUCGACGAUGGUAGAAGUAAGAGAAAUUCUGUCGUGAAUAAUAAAUUGUCUUUGAUCCGGUCCUAUUGUUGGUAGCGACUCCAUUUUGUCCCCCAGAGGUAGAGUCACGUGAAGGAGACGAUGUAAAACCAGUUAAAAUAGAAUAAAGUAUAGGGGUCACUUUGAAAGGUAUCACACUGACAUAUGAUGAAAAAUUUAAAAUACCGUUGUAUGUAUCAAUUUUAA